UACGUAGGGGGCAAGGCGUUGUCCGGAAUCAUUGGGCGUAAAGCGCGUGUAGGCGGCCAGGUAAGUCCGUUCUGAAAGCCCGGGGCUCAACCCCGGGAGGCGGAUGGAUACUGCUUGGCUCGAGUCCGGAAGAGGCGAGUGGAAUUCCCGGUGUAGCGGUGAAAUGCGCAGAUAUCGGGAGGAACACCAAUGGCGAAGGCAGCUCGCUGGGACGGUACUGACGCUGAGACGCGAAAGCGUGGGGAGCAAACAGGG
rnacentral:rRNA from 1 species